GCUCUAUUCCAGAAGCAGUGUGGAGCACAAAGAAUCCCUAAUCCCUGACAUUAAGAAAGAAGAAAAAUAUUCCUAGGACGAUCCUGGAGAGCAAAGGUCAUUAGCAGUCACUUGACUUUCCUUGGAUUUCUCAACUGCAGUAGUCACACGGUCUGCUGAAAAUGAAUUCUCUUUAUUUUCAUCUGAUUUCAAGGAAUUAUGGUUUUCAGUGAUUUCUUCAUUUGGAUCUAUUUUGAGACAGAGUAAUAGCAUUAAAACCCCCUUCUGAAUUAAUAAGGCAUUUGUUGCUGAAACGCAAAGUGUGACAAGCCAAUGGAGAAGAGACACAGACAUGCAGAGAAAACACAGGGAAGAAGGCCACAUGGGAUGAAGGCAGAGAUGGGAAUGAUGCAGCUACAAGCCAAGGAAUGCCAUGGACUGCCAGCAACCACUAGAAAGAAGCUGGAAGAGGCAAGGAAGGAUUCUUCUGUGAUGCCUUCAGAG
rnacentral:antisense_RNA from 1 species